rnacentral:snoRNA from 1 species
AAGUGGUUUAUCAAGAAAUUUCAUGGAGGUCUCUGUCUGUCUUAGGAUAGCUGCUAAGUCAGAUCGUUCCCCUCCAUACACU